AUGCGGUCUGUGCCUGCGUGCUACCCAAACGUCGAUCUGAAUACCACUGAACGCUGGUUUGAAAAUUUCCAUUUUUGUAAUUUGCUUUCCUUUGUUAAGCCAAGACUUGAGAGAAACCUGGCAGUCGUCUCCAAGUCUGGCACGAUUUCCCUUCCGACCCACUCGGUUGGUGGGGAUGUGGAGGGGACCGCACAAGAGAGGAGAGAGAGGGAGGGAGGUGGCUUGAAACUCGCCCGCCCGCCCACCGGGGCCUGCGGAGGGAGCAAGCCCAGCGUCUCAGCCAGGGGGUUUGGCUCCACCUACAGGAAUCUGAGGGCACUCGAAGCAGAUCCCUCUGCCGCCAAGGAAACCAAAGGUGGGGACUUGGACAACUGCUGGAGAAUUUCCCAGCCAAUAGGAAUGGGCUCUAAGGAGCUGACGGCAAGAAAUUUGUUCUGCUGGACGGUGGAAUGGCCUGACAGAUACACUUAGCUGAUUGACUGUCGCAGGCGGAAGUUCGCUCCCCACCUACCUGUUGUCCUGACCCUGAGCUUCUCUCUCAGCUUCUGCAAGAGACUGAGGCAGCUGCUCCUGCUGCUUUAAUCCAAAAAUCAAACGCUGCCUGGAACUGGUGCCAACUGGUUGCUAAACUUACAAAUUCAAUUUUUUUUUUUAAGCCUAAAGGACGGAAUCUUUGAGCCUGCGGGUUUGUAAGCGACAAACAGGCAGGUGCUGUGUUUUAGCAACACAGGUGUCUUAUAUCGAAUAUCUAACACAUGUACUUAUCCAAAGUGCUUAAGAAGCAUUUAUUGAAUUUCCCAAUGACAGUUAUAGAUGAAGAUGAUAUUUACCAAUUGAAAAAGAAUUUUUGCUGUAGGCAGUUAUCAGUUUCCAAUUUUUUUUUUUAAAAAGAAGAUUCUUCCUGUAAAUGUGAUUCUGUUUGCAUUGUGUCAGAUAAAUGAUGAUGUAGUGAAAGUUGGAAAUGAGAAGAUCCAGAUUCCAACCACAAGCCAUCUAUAAAAUGGAAAUAAAUAAUACUGUUAUGACCUCCUAAAGAAUUAGACAUGAAUCAUUAUUACAGUAAUAAUCACAGCAUUAAUAAUAGCUUUGAGCUAUUAUUAAGUGCUAACUACCUUCUAGACUCUCUGCUAACCACUUUAAUUGCAUUAUCUAAUUUAUCCUCAUAACGACCACAUAUAGGUUACAAUUAUU
rnacentral:lncRNA from 1 species